AACAAAAAUUCAUGUGACACGUUAAGCUGUCAUUGUGUAGAAAAGUUAUUUUUAAUUUAUUAAGUGCUUUGUUUUCCUGAGAACUAGGCUAGCCAACCAUUUACCAAUAUUUUUCUCGGAAUGGAAGAAUUUUUUGCUGUCAAACUAAAAACUUUGAUAAAGUUACCUGUCAGGCGAGUGUACUUGUUUGUGAAGAUAACAUGGUUUUUUACUGUGUUAGUUGAUGUACAAGAUGUGUAACAUCUUAGCUGUCGGCAUACAACUUUUGGUAGGAGUAAUUUCGUGAAUGGAGCGGAAAUUUGUAAACAGGGUGUUCUGCACCUCCCUUUGUUACACUAAUAAUUCUAUCUCUCUCUUUCUUUAAUUUAUUGUUGAAGUAGGGAGAGAAGGCAGUACAGGGUGGAGGAAAAAAGUGUAGGUACUGUGUUGUUGAUACCUUCGUAAACUUAAUAAUAUAACAUUGCAUAAAAACCUUAGAAACAAUGCUCUAACAAAUAAACAAUAGUAGACGGUAACAACUGACGAAUCCAAUCUGUAGUUUACUAUGGAAAUAUAUAGUAUUUUAAUUAUGGAGUAAGAAAUUUGUAUAUUAUGUGGAUAGGAAAUUGAUUAUUUAAAGAGUGGUGAAAAAUCUGAAGUUUAAUAGUUUGAACCAUAGAUAGUAAACAUAACACAGCAACACUUUCAAUAAUAAACAUACACUGACAUACAUAACCUGAACCUGACUCUUGAUACAUAUGAAAAUUAACAAUAUUAUUCAACGAUAUAAUUAGGAAUCUUUUGUAAGUUUGAAAAUAUUAUAAGAAAUGUAUAUAUUCAUCCUUUCCAAGUGUGUAUAAGAAUUUAAGGUUGGUGGAGUUAUAACAAUUUUAAUACUCAACAAUAAAAUAUGAAUUUACUUAAAAAUUCUUAAUUUAUAUUGUGACAAAUCUUUCCUGGAGAUUAUUUGCAGUUCAAAUGUCUUAGGAUGUAUGUUGGCACAGAUCACACCCAAAAGUUCAAAAGUGAUUUAAUUAAGUCCAGUAGUUGUUUCAAAAUUUAUAUCGUUCAUAAAUCAAAUGAUUUCAAAGUGAGUUAAAAAUUAGAGAGUUUAAUAUCAAAUUAAAUUCUAUUUUAAAUAGAAUUACACGGCUUUAGUUCAGCGGGAGUACGAUUAUCUUAAAAGUAGGACUUCUGGGUGUCUAAGUAGAAUUACUUCUCUUUAUAUUAUGUUAUAUACACCAUCUAAUUGAAGUUCAGUUUUAUCAACUUUUGCAACAAUAUAGUUUGUUUGGCUAGAAAUCUCACGUAUUUAUAAGCAUGUAAGCAAAUUUAUACUGGCCGCUUAAGCCUUGAACAAUGGCGACACUGCUUAAUUAUGGCGUCCCUAGCUAAGCAAUUCUUAAAUUGGCUUAUACUUGGCAUAACUGCUUUAAAUCCAAGUAAAUAUUACUUACAGUUCGUUAAGAUAUUUAGUUGUAACAAUUUCAUUAAUGUACACAACCGACGAUACCCUAAACUCAUAUUUUUAAUAAUUUUAAUUGUUCAGGCGUCAGGCCUUAGCCUACACGUAGUAACGCCAAAAAUCACACUUUUUUAAGUUACUUCCUGUUCCUGUGUGGCUGAGAUACGUGUAUACCCAAUAUAUAUGGUUCAUAACAUCCUUUCAUGGCCUUUGGUUACAACAAUACGGUAAGGAACUAGAAUAAAAUUAAUUGAAUUUACAAAUUAAACAGAUGGUCAGAAUAAAAAAUAAACGGUAAAAAAAUUAACGAAAAUUACAACAAUGCAGAUGAAAGAAAAAAAUAUUAAUAUUAUUAAAGUUCCACAGAUGAAAAGUUUAUGGUUGUCAUAAGGCGAAAUAUUUACUAAACAUUCAUAGCAGAUAUCUUAAUAAACACGAAGAUGUCUGUGCUAUUACCAUGUAAUAGUACAGAUGCUGUCCCAUGGGAUAAUCAUAAAACGAAGCGAGCACAAAGCAUAAGAUCGCCGGUUUAUUAUUAACCCAUCUGUCUCUCUCACACACAGCAGGUGCGACCGUUACUCGAAGCGACGGUUGAGAAUUGGCAAGGAGGUGGGGGUUGGGUGGCGCGCUAAUCAGCGAUCAACCGGCGGCCGAGGCGUGGCGUGACUGUUCAGUCUCGUGUCAGCCGUCUCGCAGUAGACACCUCGCUGCUUCGCGCUCCGGAAAUGGCGCGAAAACUCCGUCGUCUCGUAGUCGUGCUGUUGAUAGGGUGUUGGGAUGGUGAAGAACAUCAAGCAGGAACAUAGCACUGGAUUCACCACAGCGUCGUGGUGUGCUGCCACACAACUGGGCAGGCGAUAACGAUACCUCCACGCCACCGCAGGGGGGUGUCGGCUACUGAUCACGGCAACAGGAUGUACCGUGUCGGGUGACCUGCGCUCGUGAGAACUAGUGGCUGACAGUGGCGGGUCCUGACGAUGUCCGCUACAGUGCCGGGCUCGGCUCUCCAGGUGGCCCGUGGGCUGUCCCAGCCCUUGACCAGGGAUGGUAUCAACGGGGAAUAGACGGAGGUCUCAUGCUGACGCCGCUGUGUCAGCAUACGUGGCGUCAACCUAAUGUCUAGUAGGAGCAAGGCCAGCUCCGUCAUCGCACCGCUAAGUAUAUUUCCGUGUUCUACACUCGUGGUUAUUUCCGCACUAUGCACACGACAGGUGUGUAUCUAGUAUAUCGCGUUUCCAUAACUCACUUUAACAGUAAACAUAACAAUGUUCUGUGCUGACUGGUUGCUGCUUGAAGUCGCUCUCACAGUAGGAUUGGUGUAAAUAACCAGGAAAGAUUUAAUCACUUUUACGAAAAUUAAUUACUUAAUCAAAAAAAAAUUAUAUUCGUUACGAGAAAUAGGAAAUUGUUUAAAGAAAAUAAAUUCUAGUUGUCAUUAUUGACGUAUUAAUAAUAUACUAUACAUUGCAACAAUAAGAUAAAAUCUUAUUAAUUAUUCAACAUCAAAGUAAUGCUAUAAUUGUGGAUUAUCAUAGGAACACAAUAUUUACACAAUUGUACUGCUAGUUUACUUAUUGGUUGACUAGUCUGUCAGUGGUAUAACCUUAUAUUAGUUUUCUGGUUUUGUUUACAACUUGUAAUUACCAUAUCAAUAAUUAUCAGUGUUGAUUUACACCAUUUUUUUUUUUUUUUUGUAAUUAUCCUCAUUAGAUAUCAUGAUAAUGUAGCAUACAAUUGCUAUUCAGCCUAUUUUACUGCUACAUAACAGUAUUAUGAUUGGAAUUUUAUUCCACAAAAAAAAAUAUUAUUCAUAUUUACAAUGGUUUCAACACAGCAUUUAACCUGUGAUUUACUGAGUAAAUUAGUUGACUACUAAUGCAAUUAUCAGUAUUAUUACAAUUUCUUACAACAUAUUAAGAGAUUAUUAAAUAACAUAACACAAGAAAAAUAUUUACACACAAGAUUAACCAGUUGAAAAAUUAUAUACAUAAUUAAAGUUAUACAUAAUUGAAUAUCAUCAUUUCUUAUGAUGCAACAGUCAUUAUUAUUUUACAGUUUGUUACACAUAUUUCAUAACCUUAUCAGUUCUUAUGAUAUCUUGACAGAUAUUAUUAUUAUCCAAGCCUAAAAUUAUUACAUAGUGUUCUACAGAUGAAUAAUAAUUCAGAUGCAGUCUUGGACAAUUUCAGUGUUUUUUCUUGAGUAUGGUGAGGUUUUCAGCUGGUGGUUUACAGUCUCUCACUAUCUUACUCUGGACACAGCUGCACAGUAGAUUACUUGCAGAAUGCUGUUGUCUUGUUAGGUAGGCUGUCAGCUACUGGCUGAUGCGGAGUCUCAUAUCAUUUCAAGAAUGUUCAUGAUCUUCCAGUCAGGUGUUACACCUAUUUACCCUGACAUAUAAAAAUUUCUUGCACUUUUAUACAUUUGUCACAAUUCUGUUACAGUGACUUCCUUCAACAACUGGGCAGCAUAAGAGCGGACUUUCUCUCGCAACACCAGUGUUCCUUGCUACUGUGGAUAACAACUCAGAAGACAAUCACAUCAUCAUGUGCUGCUGAACAACAGUGACGUCACUCGCGUGACAGUGUGAUCCUCAAGAUGACAGUGCUUCGAAUUAUGUGUUACACAUCAAAAUAAUAUUCGGAGUUCAUAAAAUUAAUUUGUGCCCAUAAUUUAUAAAAUCAAAUUCCAAAAUAAAUUAGUUCCAGUGCA